CAGUUUAGCGUUGGCAAGAAUCCAUUUGUAAUCAAUCUGCUAACAAAAGAGUGAUAGAGUGGCUACUUUCCUUGAGUUAAAUAACUGAAACUACGUCUUGGGGAAAUUUACUUUAAAAGAAGUAUGGAAUGAAGAGUUUGGGAUUUGCUUGUACCAUCAAGAAAUCUUCUUGUUGCAGAUUCCAGCUUGAAUCCAGGCCAGACCAACAGAGGAAGUCUUUUAGAGCUGUUCAGUCUUCUGCUCUGAUGAAGACAUGAUCUGGCUAGUUGCAAAC
rnacentral:lncRNA from 1 species